rnacentral:rRNA from 1 species
AGCUAGUUGGUGAGGUAAUGGCCCACCAAGGCGACGAUCGGUAGCCGGACUGAGAGGUUGAACGGCCACAUUGGGACUGAGACACGGCCCAGACUCCUACGGGAGGCAGCAGUGGGGAAUAUUGCACAAUGGGGGAAACCCUGAUGCAGCGACGCCGCGUGGAGGAAGAAGGUCUUCGGAUUGUAAACUCCUGUUGUUGAGGAAGAUAAUGACGGUACUCAACAAGGAAGUGACGGCUAACUACGUGCCAGCAGCCGCGGUAAAACGUAGGUCACAAGCGUUGUCCGGAAUUACUGGGUGUAAAGGGAGCGCAGGCGGGAAGACAAGUUGGAAGUGAAAUCCAUGGGCUCAACCCAUGAACUGCUUUCAAAACUGUUUUUCUUGAGUAGUGCAGAGGUAGGUGGAAUUCCCGGUGUAGCGGUGGAAUGCGUAGAUAUCGGGAGGAACACCAGUGGCGAAGGCGGCCUACUGGGCACCAACUGACGCUGAGGCUCGAAAGUGUGGGUAGCAAACAGGAUUAGAUACCCUGGUAGUCCACACUGUAAACGAUGAUUACUAGGUGUUGGAGGAUUGACCCCUACAGUGCCGCAGUUAACACAAUAAGUAAUCCACCUGGGGAGUACGACCGCAAGGUUGAAACUCAAAGGAAUUGACGGGGGCCCGCACAAGCAGUGGAGUAUGUGGUUUAAUUCGACGCAACGCGAAGAACCUUACCAAGUCUUGACAUCCUGCGACGGACAUAGAAAUAUGUUUUUCCUUCGGGACGCAGAGACAGGUGGAGCAUGGUUGUCGUCAGCUCGUGUCGUGAGAUGUUGGGUUAAGUCCCGCAACGAGCGCAACCCUUAUGGUCAGUUACUACGCAAGAGGACUCUGGCCAGACUGCCGUUGACAAAACGGAGGAAGGUGGGGAUGACGUCAAAUCAUCAUGCCCUUUAUGACUUGGGCUACACACGUACUACAAUGGCGUUAAACAAAGAGAAGCAAGACCGCGAGGUGGAGCAAAACUCAGAAACAACGUCCCAGUUCGGACUGCAGGCUGCAACUCGCCUGCACGAAGUCGGAAUUGCUAGUAAUCGCAGAUCAGCAUGCUGCGGUGAAUACGUUCCCGGGCCUUGUACACACCGCCCGUCACACCAUGAGAGCCGGGGGGACCCGAAGUCGGUAGUCUAACCGCAAGGAGGACGCCGCCGAAGGUAAAACUGGUGAUUGGGGUGAAGUCGUAACAAGGUAGCCGUAGGAGAACCUGCGGCUG